rnacentral:Y_RNA from 1 species
AGCUGGUCCAAAACGUAGUGGGUUAUCAGAACAUAUUAGGGUCACUAAAGGUGGUAUACGACCCCCCACUGCUCAAUUUGACUGGCUAAAA